ensembl:lncRNA
ACACCUGCACCAUAUCGAAGUUUCCAGGUUAGAGGUCCAAUCGGAGCUACAGCGGCCGGCCUACACCACAGUCACAGUAACAUGGGAUCCGAGCCGAGUCUGUGACCUACACCACAGCUCAUGGAGAUGCCCGGUCCCCAACCCACUGAGUGAGGCCAGGGAUGGAACCCACAUCCUCAUGAAGACUAGUCGGAUUUGUUUCCACUGUACCAUGACGGGAACUCUCUAAACAGCAUCUUUUCAACUGAGUCUUUUCUCCGCAUUAUCGCGACACACAUUUUUUUCCUGUUAACAAACCUCUCCCCACCCAGCCCCUGAUCAGCACCUGCUCCUACAGGAUUCCGUAUUCCAGGCCACUGUGACUUUAGCUGGCAUUUCCUCCUCCGGUAGAGCCGGGGCUGAGGGCUGAUCUGCUCCCGUGUGCAAGGCCACAGAGGAAGGUCACAAAAGGACUAGAAGACACGUUUCCUCCACUUGAGAAGCUAGUGACCUCAUGGAUAAGAAAAACUGUGUCUUUAUUAAAACAGAAAGUCUACCCAGCCAAUUAGACCUGUAUAAUAAAGUGAUCAGAACGAUUGGAUUUGGAUGGUCUAGAAAUUUCUGCAGCUGAUAAUAUUGUUAUGAUCUAGGGGAUGAUAAGGAUUUGUUUAUAGUAAAAAUGCAUCAAGCUGCACCCUUUUAUUUAUUUAUUUUAUUUUUUUCUGCUCAUGGCAUAUGGAGUUCCCAGGCUAGGGGUCGAAUGGGAGCUACAACCGCCAGCCUACACUAUAGCCACAGCAACAUAGGAUCCGAGCUGCAUCUGUGACCUGCACCACAGCUCAAGGCAACGCCAGAUCCUUAACCCACUGAACAAGGCCAGGGAUCAAACCCACAUCCUCAAUGGAUACUGGUCAGAUUCAUUUCCGCUGAGCCACAACAGGAACUCUGGGGUGGGGACUCAAAUGUGACGUGUUCAGAGACCACGAGGAGGAGUUCCUACUGUGGCACAGCGGGUUAAGAACCUCACUGCACAGUGGCUCAGGCCCCUGUGAAGGUUCUGUUUCUGGUUCAAUCCCUGGCCCCUGGCCCAGCGCAGUGGCUUAAAAGAUCUGGUGCUGUGGCAGCUGCAGCUCGGAUUCAAUCCCUGGCCCGAAAACUUCCAUAUGCCACCGGUGCUGCUAUAAAAAGAAAAGAAAAAAGAACACAAGGAGGCAGUGGCGAAGGACUGGCCACCUCAGGGACACCGCUGGACUCUAGGGACAGGGGAAACCCUGGCGGGUAUGAAAAAGGGAUGGAAGUUAAGGCUGAGCUUCAAACACAACGACUUUGAGACUCAACAGAGCUUAAGUCAUUUAAAUGCACUGAAUUCCAGUUUGAUGAACUGAUCUACCUAAAGGGUUGGAGAUUCCCCACAAGCUGGGUCUUAGGAGUGUCAGGUUUAUACCCAAAUGGCCACUAGUUUACACGGGUUGGCAGAAGGUGCCCUCAUUUGAUCCGGCCCUUCGGCCCUUCGGCCCCUGCACCGCCCCCACUACAACACACGAGGUUACAGAGCAAACCGCAGCAAGACCAGGAUUCGAGCUGUAAAAAAGUCAUCAAAUGUGUAAGGAAGCAUUUUCCCCACUCCCUGCUAGGCUGGCAGAGCCCUCUGUCUUUACCAAAUCUUCCUUAUCAGAUGAAAGGAAAGCCAUGCGGAGUCAGAAAACCUGAGAAAACAAGCCCAACUCACUCGAAUGUCUGAACUUUCAUUCUGGAGAGAAAUUCCGCUUACUGGGGGCAGGGGGGACUCCCAGCUUGGGCAUCAAGACAAGCCAGGACCCCCACUUCUGGCCCCGUCCGCAGGGAGCUCUCCUGCUGGGCUUAGGCCCACUGCCUAGGGCACAGUCUUCAUUAUUUCAGGGUGUUGUCAUCCACACACACGGCCACACCCAGCUGCACUGUCCCCUGACUGGCUAAAAAAAGAUUUGAUAAAACCCAAGGAUCAGAAUUUAGGCUGCUGUUAUUCUGAAUACAAGGCAGGUCAGGAGGUGAUUAAAGUGGAGGGGGGAGGUGUCGUUUUCUCAGCACCAGGAUUAGUUGGCAAGUCAACACGAUGGGACAGUGUAUUCCUAUACCCACCCACCAAAUCCCUGGCCGCCUUUACUACCCAAGCCACUUUUCUGGGGCCAUCUGGGUGCCUGUCAUUGUACUACACGGGGACCCACGGCCUGUAGGAACACAACCAUUUAUCAAGAACCCACUGAUGUGCGUGGCCUUAAAAAGUGAACAGAGGAGUUCCCCUGCAGCACAGCGGCAACAAACCGACUAAUAUCCAUGAGAACAUGGGUUCGAUUCCUGGCCUCGCUCACUGGGUUAAAGAUCCUGCGUUGCAGUGAGCUGUGGUGUAGGUUGCAGACGCAGCUUGGAUCCUGCAUUUCUGUGGCUGUGAUGUGGGCCGGCAGCUGCAGCUCCUACUCAACCCCUAGCUGGGAUCCUCCAAGGGUGCAGCCCUUAAAAAGAAGAUUAAAAAAAAAAAAAGAAAAAAAAUUACAGGAAAACUGCAAAGGCCUGACUUGAUUGCAUUGCCAGGAAGACCUGGGAAGGGGCUUGGGCACUGACUCUUUUAAGAGCA